rnacentral:rRNA from 1 species
GUAGGUCCCACCGCCCGUAAGACGCAUGUCUACUUUGGAGGUUUGUGGCCCUUGAGCCGUCGCUUUCCGAAGCGACGCGUUUAGUAGACCUGCCUGGGGAGUACUGUCGCAAGAUUAAGACUCAGAUGAAGUGACGGGGGGCCCGCACAAGCGGUGUAGCAUGUGGGUUUAAUUCGAUGCAACGCGAAGAACCUUACCUACUCUUGACAUCCAGAGAACUUUCCAGAGAUGGAUUGGUGUCUUCGGGAACUCUGAGACAGGUGCUGCAUGGCUGUCGUCAGCUCGUGUUGUGAAAUGUUGGGUUAAGUCCCGCAACGAGCGCAACCCUUAUCCUUGUUUGCCAGCGAGUAAUGUCGGGAACUCCAGGGAGACUGCCGGUGAUAAACCGGAGGAAGGUGGGGACGACGUCAAGUCAUCAUGGCCCUUACGAGUAGGGCUACACACGUGCUACAAUGGCGCAUACAGAGGGCGGCCAGACUUGCGAAAGUGAGCGAAUCCCAAAAAGUGCGUCGUAGUCCGGAUUGGAGUCUGCAACUCGACUCCAUGAAGUCGGAAUCGCUAGUAUAUCGUGGAUCAGAAUGCCACGGUGAUAUACGUUCCCGGGCCUUGUACACACCGCCCGUCACACCAUGGGAGUGGGCUGCAAAAGAAGUAGGUAGUUUACCAUUCGGGGGGACGCAUUAUCACCUCUGGUGUUCAGGCAACNUGGGUU